rnacentral:rRNA from 1 species
AAGUAACAAUACGGGGCUUAAUGUCUUGUAAUUGGAAUGAUGGGAAUUUAAACCUCUUCCAGAGUAUCAAUUGGAGGGCAAGUCUGGUGCCAGCAGCCGCGGUAAUUCCAGCUCCAAUAGCGUAUAUUAAAAUUGUUGCAGUUAAAAAGCUCGUAGUUGAAUUUCUGCUGCAUUUCAUUUCUCUUUCUGAGUUUGUUUUUGCGGCUUAUUUCGGUUUGAUUUUUUCUUUCCGGAUGAUUACUUUGAGAAAAUUAGAGUGCUCAAAGCAGGCUUUUGCCUUGAAUAGUUUAGCAUGGAAUAAUAAAGUAGGACUUUGGUUCUAUUUUGUUGGUUUUAGGUACCAAAGUAAUGGUUAAUAGGAACAGUUGGGGGCAUUCGUAUUUA